rnacentral:rRNA from 1 species
AUCCAGACUCCUACGGGAGGCAGCAGUGAGGAAUAUUGGUCAAUGGGCGCGAGCCUGAACCAGCCAAGUCGCGUGAGGGAAGACGGUCCUAUGGAUUGUAAACCUCUUUUGUCGGGGAGCAAAAGACGCCACGCGUGGCGUUCCGAGAGUACCCGAAGAAAAAGCAUCGGCUAACUCCGUGCCAGCAGCCGCGGUAAUACGGAGGAUGCGAGCGUUAUCCGGAUUUAUUGGGUUUAAAGGGUGCGUAGGCGGAAUGCCAAGUCAGGGGUAAAAUCGCGGGGCUCAACCUCGCUCCGCCGUUGAAACUGGCGUUCUUGAGUGGGCGAGAAGUAUGCGGAAUGCGUGGUGUAGCGGUGAAAUGCAUAGAUAUCACGCAGAACUCCGAUUGCGAAGGCAGCCUACUAAACUGCCACUGACAUUGAUGCUCGAAAGUGUGGGUAUCAAACAGGAUUAGAUACCCCCGUAC